rnacentral:rRNA from 1 species
UUAAAAAGCUCGUAGUUGAAUUUCGGGGUUAGUAGGUUGGUCAUGCCUCUGGUAUGUACUGGUCUCACUGAUUCCUCCUUCCUGAUGAACCGUAAUGCCAUUAAUUUGGUGUUGCGGGGAAUUUGGACUGUUACUUUGAAAAAAUUAGAGUGUUUAAAGCAAGCUAACGCUUGAAUACAUUAGCAUGGAAUAAUGAAAUAGGACGUUCGAUCCUACUUUGUUGGUUUCUAGGAUUGACGUAAUGAUUAAUAGGGAUAGUUGGGGG